rnacentral:rRNA from 1 species
UUCUUGCUUUUUUUCCGCCUAUAUACCGCCGUCCUCAGCUCACCCUAUGAAGGUACAACAGUAAGCAUAAUGACUAUUUUCCAUCAACACGUCAGGUCGAGGUGUAGCGAAUGAAGUGGGAAGAAAUGGGCUACAUUUUCUUUCUAGAAUACACGAAUAGAAGCAUGAAAAACUUCUUAAAGGUGGAUUUAGCAGUAAGUAAAUUUCAGAAUAUUAUACUGAAAACGGCUCUGGAGCGCGUACACACCGCCCGUCACUCUCCUCGAAAAAAAAUCAUAAAUUAAAUAAAAAAAUAUUACAACAAGAGGAGGCAAGUCGUAACAUGGUAAGUGUACUGGAAAGUGCACUUGGACUAAC